AGCGCAACCCUCGCCUUUAGUUGCCAGUCAUUAAGUUGGGCACUCUAAAGGGACUGCCGGUGAUAAGCCGCGAGGAAGGUGGGGAUGACGUCAAGUCCUCAUGGCCCUUACGGGCUGGGCUACACACGUGCUACAAUGGUGGUGACAGUGGGAUGCAAAAGGGCGACCUCUAGCAAAUCUCCAAAAGCCAUCUCAGUUCGGAUUGCACUCUGCAACUCGAGUGCAUGAAGUUGGAAUCGCUAGUAAUCGUGGAUCAGCAUGCCACGGUGAAUACGUUCCCGGGCCUUU
rnacentral:rRNA from 1 species